rnacentral:rRNA from 1 species
UACGUAGGCAGCGAGCGUUGUUCGGAGUUACUGGGCGUAAAGCGUGCGUAGGCGGUGUCUUAAGUUUGUUGUGAAAUCUCCCGGCUUAACCGGGAGGGUGCGGCGAAUACUGAGAUGCUGGAGUGCCGGAGAGGUAAGCGGAAUUCCUGGUGUAGCGGUGAAAUGCGCAGAUAUCAGGAAGAACACCCGUGGCGAAAGCGGCUCUCUGGAACGGUACUGACGCUGAGACGCGAAAGCGUGCGGAGCGAACAGG